GUGGGAGCCGUGGAGGGAACUUUCCCAGUCCCCGAGGCGGAUCCGGUGUUGCAUCCUUGGAGCGAGCUGAGAGCUCGAGGUGAGCUGGGCUCGCGGUCGCCCCUCUCGCGCGCCCUCUUUAAGAACCACGGCGUCCAACCUCCCUGGAAAUGGGGGGAACAUGGCCGAGGCGCGUGGCGAGGCCGCCUCGUGGAGGCCCCGGAGCGGCAUCCUCAGCGCCCCAGCGAUCCGGUGCCCAUUAGAACCUGCUAAGGCCAUCAAACCUAUUGAUCGGAAGUCAGUCCAUCAGAUUUGCUCUGGGCCGGUGGUACCGAGUCUAAGCACUGCGGUGAAGGAGUUAGUAGAAAACAGUCUGGAUGCUGGUGCCACUAAUAUUGAUCUAAAGCUUAAGGACUAUGGAGUGGAUCUCAUUGAAGUUUCAGGCAAUGGAUGUGGGGUAGAAGAAGAAAACUUCGAAGGCUUAACUCUGAAACAUCACACAUCUAAGAUUCAAGAGUUUGCCGACCUACCUCAGGUUGAAACUUUUGGCUUUCGGGGGGAAGCUCUGAGCUCACUUUGUGCACUGAGAUGCCAGACCUUAGAUUUUAUGAUGACUCCUCAACCGUUUAGAUCUCGGUUAUCUCAGAGGGAUCAUCAGCUUUUUAAGAAAAUUUUGAGAGAAAAGCAAGUGAAGAAAAGAGUAGUCAGUGCCCAACAUCACGGAUCUCUCACUGAACACACCAUGCCUGGUAUUCUCUCACAGUGAUGUCACCAUUUCUACCUGCCAUGUAUCGGCGAAGGUUGGGACUCGACUGGUGUUUGAUCACUAUGGGAAAAUCAUCCAGAAAACCCCCUACCCCCACCCCAGAGGGAUGACAGUCAGUGUGAAGCAGUUAUUUUCUACGCUACCUGUGCACCAUAAAGAAUUUCAAAGGAAUAUUAAGAAGAAACGUGCCUGCUUCCCCUUCGCCUUCUGCCGUGAUUGUCAGUUUCCUGAGGCCUCCCCAGCCAUGCUUCCUGUACAGCCUGCAGAACUGACUCCUAGAAGUACCCCACCCCACCCCUGCUCCUUGGAGGACAACGUGAUCACUGUAUUCAGCUCUGUCAAGAAUGGUCCAGGUUCUUCUAGAUGAUCUGCACAAAUGGCUCCUCUCCUCCUUCCUGAUGUCUGCCAUUAGCACUGGAAUAAAGUUCCUGCUGAAAAUCCACA
rnacentral:lncRNA from 1 species